GUGCACCAGUCGAGAAACCUCCGCAAUGCGGGAAACCGUGACGGGGUCACCCCGAGUGCCACCCGAUGAGGGUGGCUUUUCCCCGGUCUAAAAAGCCGGGGGCAAUAAGCGGGGGCAAGUCUGGUGUCAGCCGCCGCGGUAAUACCAGCCCCGCGAGUGGUCGGGACGUUUAUUGGGCCUAAAGCGUCCGUAGCCGGCUCGGUAAGUCCCUCCUUAAAUCCACGGGCUCAACCCGUGGGCUGGGAGGGAUACUGCCGGGCUAGGGGGCGGGAGAGGCCGAGGGUACUCCCGGGGUAGGGGCGAAAUCCGUUAAUCCCGGGAGGACCACCAGUGGCGAAGGCGCUCGGCUGGAACGCGCCCGACGGUGAGGGACGAAAGCUAGGGGAGCAAA
rnacentral:rRNA from 1 species